rnacentral:tRNA from 2 species
UGGGGGAUCGUUCAAUGGUAGGACAACGGACUCUGACUCCGUGAAUUGAGGUUCGAGCCCUCAUCCCCCAGCCA